UUUCCGGUUGAUCCUGCCGCCGGACACCGCUAUUGGAAUUCGAUUAAGACAUGCGAGUCGAGAGGGGUAAGCCCUCGGCGCACGGCUCAGUAACACGCGGAUAACCUGCCCUCAGGUGGAGAAUAACCUCGGGAAACUGAGAAUAAUGCUCCAUAGUUCUGGGAUGCUGGAAUGCUUCCAGAACGAAAGCUUCGGCGCCUGAGGAUGGGUCUGCGGCCUAUCAGGUAGUAGUGGGUGUAACGAACCCACUAGCCUACGACGGGUAUGGGCCUCGGGAGAGGAAGCCCAGAGAUGGACUCUGAAACACGAGUCCAGGCCCUACGGGGCGCAGCAGUUACGAAAACUUCACACUGUGGGAAACCACGAUGAGGGAAUUCCAAGUGCUAAUGCAUUAGCGUUAGCUGUUCUUUUGCCUAAAAAGCAAGAGAAGUAAGGGCCGGGUAAGACGGGUGCCAGCCGCCGCGGUAAUACCCGCGGCCCAAGUGGUGCUUGAUAUUAUUGAGCCUAAAACGUCCGUAGCCGGUUUUGUAAAUCCAUGGGUAAAUCGAGCAGCUCAACUGUUCGAAUUCCGCGGAGACUGCAGGACUUGGGACUGGGAGAGGUCAGAGGUACUUCUGGGGUAGGGGUAAAAUCCUGUAAUCCUGGAAGGACCACCAGUGGCGAAGGCGUCUGACUAGAACAGAUCCGACGGUGAGGGACGAAGCCCUGGGGCGCAAACGGGAUUAGAUACCCCGGUAGUCCAGGGUGUAAACGCUGCGGGCUUGGUGUUGGAGGUUCUAAGGGAACUUCCAGUGCCGGAGAGAAGUUGUUAAGCCUGCUGCUUGGGGAGUACGGUCGCAAGACUGAAACUUAAAGGAAUUGGCGGGGGAGCACCGCAACGGGAGUAGCGCGCGGUUCAAUUGGAGUCAACGCCGGG
rnacentral:rRNA from 1 species